AGUGAACGCUGGCGGUAGGCCUAACACAUGCAAGUCGAACGGCAGCACAGUAAGAGCUUGCUCUUACGGGUGGCGAGUGGCGGACGGGUGAGGAAUACAUCGGAAUCUACUUUUUCGUGGGGGAUAACGUAGGGAAACUUACGCUAAUACCGCAUACGACCUACGGGUGAAAGCAGGGGAUCUUCGGACCUUGCGCGAUUGAAUGAGCCGAUGUCGGAUUAGCUAGUCGGCGGGGUAAAGGCCCACCAAGGCGACGAUCCGUAGCUGGUCUGAGAGGAUGAGCAGCCACACUGGAACUGAGAAACGGUCCAGACUCCUACGGGAGGCAGCAGUGGGGAAUAUUGGACAAUGGGCGCAAGCCUGAUCCAGCCAUACCGCGUGGGUGAAGAAGGCCUUCGGGUUGUAAAGCCCUUUUGUUGGGAAAGAAAAGCAGCAGGUUAAUACCCCGCUGUUCUGACGGUACCCAAAGAAUAAGCACCGGCUAACUUCGU
rnacentral:rRNA from 1 species